GGUGGUUCUCAGGUGAUGCACCCCAGAAUCAGGCUCCCUCCUCUCUGGUUCCAGUGUGUCACCCAAGAACUGCA
rfam:Myotis brandtii contig270376, whole genome shotgun sequence.